rnacentral:rRNA from 1 species
CCUACGGGCGGCUGCAGUGAGGAAUAUUGGUCAAUGGACGCAAGCCUGAACCAGCCAAGUAGCGUGAAGGAUGACUGCCCUACGGGUUGUAAACUUCUUUUAUAAAGGGAUAAAGUGAGGCACGUGUGCCUUUUUGUAUGUACUUUAUGAAUAAGGAUCGGCUAACUCCGUGCCAGCAGCCGCGGUAAUACGGAGGAUCCGAGCGUUAUCCGGAUUUAUUGGGUUUAAAGGGAGCGUAGAUGGGUUGUUAAGUCAGUUGUGAAAGUUUGCGGCUCAACCGUAAAAUUGCAAUUGAUACUGGCAGGCUUGAGUAUAGUUGAGGUAGGCGGAAUGCGUGGUGUAGCGGUGAAAUGCUUAGAUAUCACGAAGAACUCCGAUUGCGAAGGCAGCUUACUAAACUGCCACUGACAUUGAUGCUCGAAAGCGUGGGUAUCAAACAGGAUUAGAUACCCUAGUAGUC